GUUUAUCAUAACAGAAGCUGGAUCGCUGGACUAAGUGUAGCUUCGCCCCAUUUCAUUACCACCACAGCCAUCACGUUACAGGUAUGUCGACCUUAGCCAAUUUUGUGGCCCUGUUCCUCAUCGUCGUCCUGAUUGCCGACAAAAGUGUGGUCCAGGUGAAAACAACGUCAUAUGCAGCACGCAAUUCCGGUGGCCUUAUAGGCGUUAUCGACGAUACACUCUCGGGGGUGGGCGGAAUAGUUGACGGCGUGCUCGGUACGGUCACCGUUAGAGGUGCCAACGGCAGAGUCAACGGAGCCCUAGGAAAAUAGCAUUUUUGCUGUUUCCGGCUGAUA